rnacentral:rRNA from 1 species
AAAAAAGGUAAGCUACUAAGAGCGAAUGGUGGAUGCCUUGACUGGUAAAGGCGAUGAAGGACGUACUAGACUGCGAUAAGCUACGGGGAGCUGUCAAGAAGCUUUGAUCCGUAGAUUUCCGAAUGGGGCAACCCAAUGUAUAGAGAUAUACAUUACCUAUAUAGGAGCGAACGAGGGGAAUUGAAACAUCUUAGUACCCUCAGGAAAAGAAAUCAAUAGAGAUUGCGUCAGUAGCGGCGAGCGAAAGCGCAAGAGGGCAAACCCAGUGCUUGCACUGGGGGUUGUAGGACUGCAAUGUGCAAGAGGUGAGUUUAGCAGAACAUUCUGGAAAGUAUAGCCAUAGAGGGUGAUAGUCCCGUAUGCGAAAAACAAACCUUAGCUAGCAGUAUCCUGAGUAGGGCGGGACACGAGAAAUCCUGUCUGAAGCUGGGUCGACCACGAUCCAACCCUAAAUACUAAUACCAGAUCGAUAGUGCACAAGUACCGUGAGGGAAAGGUGAAAAGAACUGAGGUGAUCAGAGUGAAAUAGAACCUGAAACCAUUUGCUUACAAUCAUUCAGAGCCCUAUGUAGCAAUACAGGGUGAUGGACUGCCUUUUGCAUAAUGAGCCUGCGAGUUGUGGUGUCUGGCAAGGUUAAGCAAACGCGAAGCCGUAGCGAAAGCGAGUCUGAAUAGGGCGCUUAGUCAGAUGCUGCAGACCCGAAACGAAGUGAUCUAUCCAUGAGCAAGUUGAAGCUAGUGUAAGAACUAGUGGAGGACUGAACCCAUAGGCGUUGAAAAGCCCCGGGAUGACUUGUGGAUAGGGGUGAAAGGCCAAUCAAACUUCGUGAUAGCUGGUUCUCUCCGAAAUAUAUUUAGGUAUAGCGUUGUGUCGUAAUAUAAGGGGGUAGAGCACUGAAUGGGCUAGGGCAUACACCAAUGUACCAAACCCUAUCAAACUCCGAAUACCUUAUAUGUAAUCACAGCAGUCAGGCGGCGAGUGAUAAAAUCCGUCGUCAAGAGGGAAACAACCCAGACUACCAGCUAAGGUCCCUAAAUCUUACUUAAGUGGAAAACGAUGUGAAGUUACUUAAACAACCAGGAGGUUGGCUUAGAAGCAGCCAUCCUUUAAAGAAAGCGUAAUAGCUCACUGGUCUAGUGAUUUUGCGCGGAAAAUAUAACGGGGCUAAAGUAAGUACCGAAGCUGUAGACUUGAUUUUAUCAAGUGGUAGGAGAGCGUUCUAUUUGCGCCGAAGGUAUACCGGUAAGGAGUGCUGGAGCGAAUAGAAGUGAGCAUGCAGGCAUGAGUAGCGAUAAUUAAUGUGAGAAUCAUUAACGCCGUAAACCCAAGGUUUCCUACGCGAUGCUCGUCAUCGUAGGGUUAGUCGGGUCCUAAGUCGAGUCCGAAAGGGGUAGACGAUGGCAAAUUGGUUAAUAUUCCAAUACCAACAUUAGUGUGCGAUGGAAGGACGCUUAGGGCUAAGGGGGCUAGCGGAUGGAAGUGCUAGUCUAAGGUCGUAGGAGGUUAUACAGGCAAAUCCGUAUAACAAUACUCCGAGAACUGAAAGGCUUUUUGAAGUCUUCGGAUGGAUAGAAGAACCCCUGAUGCCGUCGAGCCAAGAAAAGUUUCUAAGUUUAGCUAAUGUUGCCCGUACCGUAAACCGACACAGGUGGGUGGGAUGAGUAUUCUAAGGCGCGUGGAAGAACUCUCUUUAAGGAACUCUGCAAAAUAGCACCGUAUCUUCGGUAUAAGGUGUGGUUCGCUUCGUAUUAGGAUUUACUCCGAAAGCGAAGAAACUUACAACAAAGAGUCCCUCCCGACUGUUUACCAAAAACACAGCACUCUGCUAACUCGUAAGAGGAUGUAUAGGGUGUGACGCCUGCCCGGUGCUCGAAGGUUAAUUGAUGGGGUUAGCAUUAGCGAAGCUCUUGAUCGAAGCCCGAGUAAACGGCGGCCGUAACUAUAACGGUCCUAAGGUAGCGAAAUUCCUUGUCGGUUAAAUACCGACCUGCAUGAAUGGCGUAACGAGAUGGGAGCUGUCUCAAAGAGGGAUCCAGUGAAAUUGUAGUGGAGGUGAAAAUUCCUCCUACCCGCGGCAAGACGGAAAGACCCCGUGGACCUUUACUACAGCUUGACACUGCUAUUUGGAUAAGAAUGUGCAGGAUAGGUGGGAGGCUUUGAGUAUAUGACGCCAGUUGUAUAUGAGCCAUUGUUGAGAUACCACUCUUUCUUAUUUGGGUAGCUAACCAGCUUGAGUUAUCCUCAAGUGGGACAAUGUCUGGUGGGUAGUUUGACUGGGGCGGUCGCCUCCCAAAUAAUAACGGAGGCUUACAAAGGUUGGCUCAGAACGGUUGGAAAUCGUUCGUAGAGUAUAAAGGUAUAAGCCAGCUUAACUGCAAGACAUACAAGUCAAGCAGAGACGAAAGUCGGUCUUAGUGAUCCGGUGGUUCUGUGUGGAAGGGCCAUCGCUCAAAGGAUAAAAGGUACCCCGGGGAUAACAGGCUGAUCUCCCCCAAGAGCUCACAUCGACGGGGAGGUUUGGCACCUCGAUGUCGGCUCAUCGCAUCCUGGGGCUGGAGCAGGUCCCAAGGGUAUGGCUGUUCGCCAUUUAAAGCGGUACGCGAGCUGGGUUCAGAACGUCGUGAGACAGUUCGGUCCCUAUCUGCCGUGGGCGUAAGAAGAUUGAAGAGAUUUGACCCUAGUACGAGAGGACCGGGUUGAACAAACCACUGGUGUAGCUGUUGUUCUGCCAAGAGCAUCGCAGCGUAGCUAAGUUUGGAAAGGAUAAACGCUGAAAGCAUCUAAGCGUGAAGCCAACUCUAAGAUGAAUCUUCUCUAAGCUCUCUAGAAGACUACUAGUUUGAUAGGCUGGGUGUGUAAUGGAUGAAAGUCCUUUAGCUGACCAGUACUAAUAGAGCGUUUGGCUUAUCUUUAAUAAAGCAU